GAUGAACGCUGGCGGCGUGCCUAAUACAUGCAAGUCGAGCGAACAGAUAAGGAGCUUGCUCCUUUGACGUUAGCGGCGGACGGGUGAGUAACACGUGGAUAACCUACCUAUAAGACUGGGAUAACUUCGGGAAACCGGAGCUAAUACCGGAUAACAUAUUGAACCGCAUGGUUCAAUAGUGAAAGGCGGCUUUGCUGUCACUUAUAGAUGGAUCCGCGCCGUAUUAGCUAGUUGGUAAGGUAACGGCUUACCAAGGCAACGAUACGUAGCCGACCUGAGAGGGUGGUCGGCCACACUGGAACUGAGACACGGUCCAGACUCCUACGGGAGGCAGCAGUAGGGAAUCUUCCGCAAUGGGCGAAAGCCUGACGGAGCAACGCCGCGUGAGUGAUGAAGGUCUUCGGAUCGUAAAACUCUGUUAUCAGGGAAGAACAAAUGUGUAAGUAACUGUGCACAUCUUGACGGUACCGGAUCAGAAAGCCACGGCUAACUACGUG
rnacentral:rRNA from 1 species